rnacentral:rRNA from 1 species
UACGAAGGGGGCUAGCGUUGUUCGGAAUUACUGGGCGUAAAGCGCACGUAGGCGGAUAUUUAAGUCAGGGGUGAAAUCCCGGGGCUCAACCCCGGAACUGCCUAUGAUACUGGGUAUCUAGAGUCCAGAAGAGGUGAGUGGAAUUCCGAGUGUAGAGGUGAAAUUCGUAGAUAUUCGGAGGAACACCAGUGGCGAAGGCGGCUCACUGGUCUGGUACUGACGCUGAGGUGCGAAAGCGUGGGGAGCAAACAGG